GGGUAACCCGCCAUAUGAUCGGACUCUUCUGGGAAGCCGGGGCUCACCGCGGACAUUUUUAGAAUCGUUGUUUCCAAAUUCAGAGGCGGCUUCGGCUGGCGCUUAGGCAUGGACCCGCUUCACACUAUUUAUUUGGUGACCUGACGUCUCACCCCGCCACCAGACGUAGACGACCUGAACGGCUGAUCGGCCAUUUUGGGACUGACACACUCCCCAGACUCCUACGGGAGGGAACUCUCUGGAAUCUUCCCCAAUGAACCAAAGUCUGAGGGAGCAUCGCCACGUGAGUGAUGAAGGCUUUCUCGUCGUAACCUCUGAUGUUAGGCAAGAACAAGUGUUAGUUGAAUCAACUGUCACCUUGACAUUACCUAACCACAAGGCGACGGCGAACUAUGUGCCCUCAACCGCGUUAAUACCUAUGUGGUGAGCGUUAUCCGCAAUUAAUGGGCGUAAAGCCCGCUCACGUGGCUUCUUAAGUCUGAUGCGACACCCUACGACUCAAUCGUGAAAAGUCUUCGCACACUGUUAUACUUUAAUGCAGAA
rnacentral:rRNA from 1 species